CAGAUGAGCAUUGCAGGUUUUUGUACUGUAACUUGCAAAGGCUUGGAUUUUCCAUGUACUUUCAUCCCUAUCUGAGAUCUGGGACUUUAUGGGUUCCCUGAGCAGUCAUAGAGCAGGGUCUUUGGGAGUAAGCUUGGAACUCUGUUGUGUGCUUGAAAAAGCAUGAGUUUUAUCCUCAGAGACAAAGGAGUUCAAAUCGUGACUGUGUGACUAUCUCUCUGAGCCUCAACAGCCUCAUCUCUAAAAUGGGAAUAUUAACUACAACUUAGUAAGGUGGUUACGUGAAUUAGACAAGAAAACUAGAUGAGAAAACCUGCAAUGUGAACAGGGACCAAGGCAGCUUGACUUGAUUUGCCCAUUUCCCACAUGCGCAUCGACACCCUGGAGGAAGAUCACAGACACCAGCCCUCAGCCCCAGCUCCCCCUGUGUGACAUCACAGGCCAUUUUCUCUGGGGAACACUGCUGUGGCUGUUGAAGAAGUCCCAGAAAAAAUUAACUUUGCUUGGAAAAUACCUUCUUGGUAGCCUUCAGCCGUCUCAGCUUCCCAGGUGCCCUGCUAAGUGCUGGGGUCACUCGCUCUGCUUAAUUAAGCUCCUCAUGGAAACAGACUGCAGAUAAAGAACCUGUUGAAACUGACGCAGUACCUUGGCAGGACAGAGGCACUGGACUGCAUGUGUUGAAAUAUUAAUGCAGGCAGCUAAGAGAAGCCAGCUGGCAACUUCAAUAUUCUGCCUGGAAAUCACUUUAACUAGAUCUACACAUUCUUCAGGUUGGGACUCCAUGUAACUCACAAACUGCCGUCCAUCUCAUCGGGAGUGCUGGUUGCCACGUUUUCAGCCAUUCCCAGAACCCUAAGUCACCUGACACCUCUGUGACAGGGCCCAGGCUGGCGAUGCUUGGGGCUCACGGAUGCGUCAGACGGACGCAGUUCCUAUCCUGGAGGAGCUCGCGGUCUGGCGGGGUAGGCGCCUGCAGAUGCCCCGCAGCCUCAGAGUGAGUAGGAAGGGCAGCUGCAAAGGAAAACCAGGGCCACACCUCGAGGGGCCACCUAAGCCCUUCAGGCUUCCAUCCUCCUCCCUGCCCAGUCCCAGGGGACUGGGGGAGCUGCUGAGGGAGCAGGGACUGAGGGGGGUUGCACCGGCCCGGCUGGGGGCCCUCUGGGGGCCGUGGGCACUGUUCUGCUUGCGCCGGCCCACAGCAGGCUUAUUGGAUCCGGCUGCCUGGCUGCCGUGGCACCCGCAGAGUCAGGACAGAGGUGCCUCAGAGGAGCCGGGGGGCUGGGCCAGGCACUGGGACGGUUGCCAGCAGUGGCUAGGGCUCCUUCACCUGGAUUCCCCCAUCUGGGAGUCAGGCUCUUGGCCUGUAACAUCCUGUGAUGUGGUUUAUUUGAUGGGAUGGGCCUACAGGGACUGUGCCCGAGGGCGGAAGGAGGGGUGCCUCCUUGUACCUCCCCCGCAAAUGACCUGGUCCUUCUUGGGUUUACCUAAAGGACAGCAGAGCAGCACAACGCCGGGGCUCAUCAGACAGAUCCAGGACUGUACCCCAGCCCUGCUGCCUACUAGCUGUGGACUUUGGGCAAAGUCUUUUCACGCAUCGGCGUCUCCUUGGUGAAGUGGGGAUAAUAUCUGACUUUGUGACAUGUAAAGUCCUGUGCCCGUGACUGUGGUUACUCUACAGGGGUUAUUCUCAUCCUUGUUCUUGAGACCCACAGCCCACAGGGGGGACAAUCCUGCAUUAAGGAUUUUUGCACAUGAAGGGCCCAGGCUGAGCAGAGAACAGAGAGGGACCACUGGGCCAGGCUGGAGGUCAUGGGAGGGGGGUUUCUUGCUCAAGUUUGAGCUAUUCCGUGUGGUAGGUGCUGGCUGUGGGACUGUGGUGGGAAUAUACUAGCCCUCUCUGGGCACCCAUCUCCUCUUUGGCAAAAUGAUAAUCAUGAUACCCACCCCACAGCGGAGCGAGGUGGCAUAGUGGACACUUCUCUGGAUCGUGCCUGCCACCUGGAGAUUCACUCAGGCAUCCACUGCCCCCAGACUCUGAGGCAGGUGGCCUCCCGACGGGGAAGCCCUAUAAUGGCUCUGCAGGCUGCAUCCAGAAACUUCCUCCCAGGGACUGAUACAGGAACCCCAACCUCCAGGCCCCUGGGUCAGAGCCCCCGCUACCAGGCAGGUCUCAUGAAGAGCCUGUGGCCACAUCCUGGCUUUAGCCUCCAGGGCCCCCCUGAAGAUCCUCAUCUGUUUGGGGAUUUUAGGGCCAGAAACUGCUGGAGGCUCCCUGCCCCUACUUUGUAGUUGAGGAAACUCAGGCACAGAGGGAUGUGACUUGCUGAAGUCUCAGAUGAGGUCUGCUGGCCUGUGGAACACAGUUCUUUCCUUACACGUGAGGCAGCCUUCCUAGGGUCCCUACCGAGUGUGACUUGCACACCCCUGAGAAAGUCUUUUGAGCUCCUUAGGUGAUAUUUGGGGUGAGUGUUCCAAAGGCUCCAAGUCCUGUGGCCCAGCCUCGUCCUCCCCUUCUGGCUGGUCUGGAGGCCUACCCACCACGCUCGUGGGCCCGGCUUUGUCCACACCCUGCAGCCCAAGCUGCAGUGGCCCAGACGGCCUUGGCCGACUGCCUGUCCUCUGCUGAGGCUACAGGCCGCCAGACCUGCGGCGCCUCGUCUACCUGGGGUCCCUCCACGCCGGCCUGUUGCCGUCAACCUCUUCCUAACUUGCGGCCUGCUCGCUGCCUGUGCCCAAAGGGAUAGUGCGUGGCACUGCUGACUGGGGGCCCCGAGGGCCUCAGCUUCUGCCUCCCCUGCCGAGGCCCGCCAUCAGCCCUGCGGCCUCUGGGAGCUCCCGGAUACCUGGCGUAGCAUCUCUGCCUUCACACUGUAUCUGACUCCUUUACUGCCUUAAUCUUUGGGUCAAAAGCCUCCGCCCAGCCCUGCAGCCCUGCACGUAGGCUUGUUAAUCAUCAGAAGGGAAUUUUCCUCAAUGCUCAAGAUUGAUGCAACCAGCCCCAUACCGGACCCUCGCCUCCCCCAAGGAGAUAAAGAAGUAUGCACAGGAAUGGCGACUGGAUUGUCAAGGACUUACAGGGACAUCGUGGCCAGACCCAUGUCAACACAAGGGCUGGAGUCAGCUGAGCACAGACAAGGAGUGUCACCCCCCACCAGGCCCCUGCUGACCCAGUCUGAGGUCACCUCCUGACCUCAACUCCUCCGGCUCCCCACUUCCCUAAUAUGAAAGACACUUGAAAUCAACCCAAAGUUAAGAUAGUUCUUAGGACAUCAGUCACCAUCUUCUUGGUCUCCUGGCUUGCCGAAUGAAGUCGCUUUCCUUGCCCCGGCAUCUUGUCUCCCCACUUCCUGGCCUGUUGUGUGGCACGUGGAAUGAGCUUGGCCGCGGUAACCCCCAUGCCCACGCAGGCUCACUUCCCAGGCACUGCUGGCUUCUGGUCCUCUCCCCAGCCCCUCCCGCUGCUUCUCCAGGACCAACCCUGUGCGGCGAGCACUGCCCUAAAAUGACUCUUUGGCCUCCAGUCUUCCUAUUCGGCACCCUCGCCCAGCGCCCAUCCAUUCUUUCUGCAGCAUCGCUGGCCCCGGCCUUGGUCGGCUGCAGUCUGGGCCGUCGUGGGGCCCAGGCCACUCCAGACCCCUCCCAUUCAAGGCUCAGCUGAACUACCUGUCUACUCACCCCUGUCAGAGGCCCGAAGUCAGGCUGCCCCCACUCCCUGCAGCCAGUUCUGCACGGCAGCCUGACGUCCUCUCUCACCCCACCCUGCUCACGGUCUCUGUCUUGCUGUCUCAUGGAAAUGUGACGGAAGCACACAAAAUAUACAUGUAAGAUGGGUGAAUGUUUUGCAAAACGACACUCCUGGGUAGCCAGCACCAUGUCAACAACAAGCAGAGCCUGGAAGCCCCUUCUGAGAGUGCCCACCAUCCUGACUUCAACGUGGCUUAUCUUGUCUGUCUUGGUACCUCAUAUAAAUGGAAUCUUACGCUAUUGGGGUGGCCAGUGGUAAGCCACCCAGACUCCCCCCUGGAAUGAAGACUUAACCCCCACCUGCUGGGGGAGCUGCUGGAACAUGGCCCUUGGUUCUCAGCCUCCUUUGAGGUUUUCCUGGGCUGAAGACACUGCCUUACCUGGUCAUGUCUUCUUCCAGGGGCAGCCUGGCAUGCGGUGAUGGACCAAUGUGGGCUAUAAAGGCCUGGUCCAUUGCCCCAACUCAGGACAACUCCACAGGGCCCCCCAGCGCCUGGGGGCUGCCUAGGCUCUGUCAAGGGGCUGCGCCACACUCUGGCUCCUCUUCUGCAGCUCAGUUGUUCUGUGACUAAGUUCUUGCAAAUGAUAGAAAGCAUAAACAUCACACAUGGCCUUUGGGAACUUCCCCAACAGGCAGAAGGCCCCACCUCGGUGCCUCUGCUUCCUUCUGGCUGGCAUGCACACAUGCUGGCGCUGGAGCAGCAAUGCUGGGCCAGGAGGCGGAAGCCAUGUGCUCAGGCAGUGGAGCCACAAAUGAACGCCUGCCCUAGGCUCCUUCUCAAGCGAGAAAGUAGCUUCUACUUUGUUUAAGCUAUUCUUAUUUUGUUGUCACUGUUUAUAACUGAAAUAAAUCUGAACAAAUUCAUUUCAUUCAUGAUUAAUGAAUCCUCAAAGGGUCUCAACACCAACCAGUCACGGGAUGACCAAGAGGCCAAAACAGUAGAACUGUGUGCACUGCAUCUAAAAAAACAGAGAUAAAAGGAUGGUUUUGCAAAGAGCCUUAGGGUACUAUAAAACGGUUAGUUUCAAUGUAGAAUAAAACUUGUGUGCCUCCAUAAAUACUCCACCAUUUACACCAUUAUGAAAUAUUUGGUCUAAUGUUGCUGGUCUUGGAGCUCAGAAGGGCCUGUGGUAGGACUUCUGCUGCGGCAGCCUGCAGUGGGCCUGGCUUUCAAGUAGGACACAUCUGCGCUGAAACCGCAGCUCUGCUAGCCUCUGGCUGUAGGGCCUUAGGCAAGUCCCCGAACCUCACUGAGCCUCAGUGUCCUCAUAUGCAAAGUGAGGUGUCCUCCUCAUGGGGGUGGGGUGAGUGAAAUCACGUGCAGGACAGGGUAUACUGCUGGGCUUGGGGCAGAGUGGGUGGCAGGAGGUGCCAGUUCCCAUGGAGGCUCCUUAUGCACAGCCAUCCAUAUUGCCCUUCUUUCUUGCUAAAGGAAAGCAGAUUUUGUUCAGCUCUCAGGUAGUCUUGUGUUAUAAUGAAGGAGGGCCUUUCCCAGCUCCUGGGGGUGAAUCUCAAUUGGUCUAAGCCAGUCCUGAUCAUUCCAAUUCCUUUGCUAGUAACUGGGGUAGGAGUAGGCAUGCGAUGUGACUCUGGCUAAUGGAGCUAGGGGAGGUCAGCCGGAGAAGGGGUCCGCUGAGAAUUUGCAUAGACAGGAGGGAGGAAUGUUCUCUUUUCUGCCUGUUUUGCAUUAGUGCAUAAGGGUGUGAUGUUUGGAGCAGAGGCAACCAUCUUGAGGCCAUGAGGGGACAGGCCUGAGCCCAAAUGUCAACACACUGGAUCCUUGAAGAUAUGAAGAAAUUGUUGAUGAACUGCUGAAUGAACCAGUUCUGGAGACACCCCACACCAGACUCCUUGUUACAUGGACAGACACUAUUAACUGUCCUCUAGUGUCCAUUCUUCCUGUCAUGAAUUUAGUAACAGGACAUACUGAGCUUCAGCUGGACAUUUGGCCCCUCCAGCUGCAGACAACACUCCCCAACAUCCUUGGCGGCUGGGUGUGGCCACACGACUGAGUCCAGGCCAAUGGGACAUAAACAGAAGUGAUGUGUGCAACUUCCAGAUUACAUCCUUAAAGAUCCUUAAAGAUCCUUCCCACUAGUUGGAAAAAAGCAUCAUUGGACCCCUUUGGAUGCCCCACCUUAGGGACGGCAGAGGAGCCCCCUGGCCUUGGAGCGACCACCUUGGGGCUGACAUGAGAGGAACAGUCUUCCUUAUUUAAGCAACUGUUGUGGAGUCUUUUCGUUACAGCAGUUUCCUGAGUACGUCACCCGAUACAUCACAUGGAGAAUCAGUGCCCUCCUGAUUUCAGGUGCUCUUGUUUCUAGCAGCCUAGAGGCCUCUCCUCUGAACUUGUCUCUUUCCUUGCAGGUUGGUGGGAACUGGGGCUGGGUUCUGACUUUUGUUGUUGUCAGGCUAUGGCUGUGAGGAAUGUCUUCCUGUUUGGAGAUCCCCUCCCACCCGCUCCUAGUUCAAUGUCAACACCACCUUGGUUCCCACCUGCUGCUGCGGAAGUCCACAGCCAUUGUCAGGUCCUGAAGCCGUGUCCACUUCAGACCCCCAGCCUCACAGAGGAAUUCCCAGCAUGCCUCGCAGGGGGCUGGCCCACAUGAGGACAGAGAUGGAGGAACAAGUGAACCGUGAAACCAGACUUACAGGAACGCAGUCCUGAGUUACUCACCCAUCUUCCGUCUCUGUUAGGCACUCGGACGGAGGACAUUCCAAUUUAAUAUUUAAACAAGAAGUUGAAUAUUGAUACAGUAACAAGGGGGAGUUAUUCCUCUAGCCCAGAUAGCUAUUCUCCCCGCUGACGGUGCUACGCCAGCCAGGAGCAGUCAUUAAAUAAUUGACAGCAUGCCUGCCUGCGGCCCCUGCUGAGCCACUCUGUGACCCCUACUAAAGGGGUGUGUCCUCAGCUUCCCCAAUCCUCAGACAAAACUGCAACACGCCCACCAUGACAAACUGCAGGCUUCCUGGGAUCUGAUUACUACCGUCCCCAGGGCAGACCUCCACCCCAGCCCGGCCCUCCCUUCUCCUUUCCGAGAACUGAAGAAUGAAGUUGCCCAGCAAUUGUUCUGGACCCAGCAAUGAAGGGGGGCCGGCCUGAAGCUACCAGGCAGUAGGCGAUUGUGAGCGCGGGGCGGGGCGGAACAGAAACUCUCUAGAGUCAGGUUCAGGCAGAAGGGGUGGGGGGCUCUGGGCUCUGGCCGGUGGGUGUUGCACUGGGAGGUGAGGACAAGCCUCUCCAGCUCCCCCUGCCAGCCUCCUUGUCCUGAGCUCAGUCCUCAGGACAGCCAAGGCUUGGGUUCAAAUCCCAGUACUGCUGCUACUUGCUGAGCUUUCCUCUCUGCAGCAAGUGGGGUGUGCUGUAUAUACCGUGUUCUGGACCAGGUACCCUUAGAUCAUCACAACCAUGCCAGGAUGCUAGGAAGUCAGUACUGUCCAUCUCCUCUUUGCCAAAGAGGUAAUGGGCACGGCUCUGACCCAGGGUGUGGGGGGCCAGGAGAUAGGGAGGGGGGCCUUUCGGCUCCUGUGCCCUACCUACUCUGGGCAUUAGGACAGCUCCUCCCAGCCCAGAGGCAGUGCAAGAACACAGCACCAGGGUGGGGGGCUGGGUGGUAAGGGUGGCACCUUCUGGUCUCACCCCCUGGAGAUGAAUCAGCCUGUCUCCCCCACCUUGGCCCACCUGUCCCCAACCCCUCUUUUCUCCAGGGCCAGCUGGACCUUGACUGGUUUAUAGCUGUUGCAUUAAGAGGCUGGGCAUGGGGCUGGCUCAGCGGCAUACAGCACCCCAGACCUUCCAGGCCAAUGAGCCUGGAGGGCCAAAUGAGGGAGAGGGGGAAUUCAACCCCAAACUUCUGAUCCCCCUGCCUUCCCCUGCCCACCUUCUCAGAGAAGGGAUGCCAGGCGCAUCUGAGAGUCCGCCCGUCCUGGGUCCUGCCUGGCCUCAUGUGAGGAGUCUGGGGCUGAGGCUGCUAUCUUCCCGUAUUUCCAGCAUGGGGGCCUCUGAGGAGGACUGUACACACGAGACCAGGCUGGCUGCAGCUGCUCUGGCCCGGCCUGACCCUCUUACUGAUGCUCCCUGGGAAGAGGGGUCUGGAGGUGGUCCCUCUGGGCCCUCAGCUCUGCACGGACUGCUGGGAACUCCUUGCAAAGUCACAAGGACGUCCCCCUCCAGGAGCCUGAGCCCAAACCUAGGAAUGAUCCUGAGAGGGAUCUGACAUGGCUCUGCCCUUCAAGGUCUUCGAGGGGACAGGCCAAGAAUCCAACAGUCACAGCGGAUGCCUGGGAGCUGCGUGACCGGAGGAGGGGCAGUCAGGGAAGGCUUCCUGGAGGGGACAUCAGCCUUAGGGAAGGAACAGAGUUUGUUGACUGGGAAGGGAAUUGCCAGCAACAGCAAAGGCAUGAAUAUCAACAUGUGGCCAUUAGUGGGGAAGGGGGUCAAGAACAACAUGCAGGUUAGUGUGGCUAGAGGGCAGUGCUCAUGGCUGAGAGGGCAGUGGCGCUUGACUGAGGAGGGCCUUGAAUGCUGGGCCUGGGAGUAAGGCUUUGUUCCAUAGGCAACAGGGAGCCAUAGAAGAACUUAGGGUGAGGGAGGGUCACGUGUCUCACCUGUGUGCUGGCACACAGUAGGCACUCACUACAUGCUGGCCAAAUGACUAAUGAAACAAUGACCACAGGAGGUCAUCUCACUUGCUUUAGUAUAUAGAGUUAUGUAUAUUAUUUAUAUUAUUAAGAUAAAACCUGCUCAUUCUAAACAAAUUUUAAGAUAGGUGAAAUGAUGCUGUCAUUGGAGAAACAACUGACAUAAUUGACAAUGACCCGUUGUUCUCAUCAAACACAUCACCUGCUUUUGAAUGCCCCUAGAGCCAGGGAGCUCACCCCUCACUGGGCUUCCCAGCACCAUCCACAGGCAGAAUCACAGGUCUCUAAACAUCUCUCCCCUCAUCUGCCAAAGAGCAGCCUGGCAGAACCCCCACUCUAGGGGGAGGGCUUCUCCAGCCUGGCCAGAGCUUCCCGGAGGGACUUUCUCUGCACACCUGGCUGGGGUCUCACCCUGCAGAGCGCAGACCUGCCUCUGGCCCAGCCCUGGGGCCACCAGCUGGGUAGCUGGGGCCUCUCCCGGAUGCUGGCCAGUCAUGCAGGGUGGGGCAGGAGAGGCCGGCUGGCAGGGUGCCUCUGCUCUGCUGAGGAGCUCCUCAGGGGUCUCAUUUGGCCCCGUUAAAACAGAUUCGGGCUCAUUAUGGGUGGGAUGCGGCCCCCACCGCUGCCUGCCAGGUCCCUGGGCGCUUCGGAUCUAGGCAGGUUGGGAGACCUCGGGCAAGUCGCCACCGCCCCCUGCCUGAGCUGCUCCAGCUGCAGAAAGGGGAUAUUUAGGGCUGUGCAAGUGAUGAGUUUUAUCAACCAUCAAGCAGUAAGUGUCAGGGAGGCACUUUGACUGCAUUUAUUCUCCUGUGUUUAUCAGGGGCAGGGUGUUUUCUUUCAAAUGCUUUGCCUGAACCAAAAAACCACCACGCCCCCAUGUCCAUGGAGUGGGCAACAUCUCUGGAAAGAAGGGGUGGGUGGGCAGGCUGGGCCUCUCCCGAAGAGAUCCCAGGGCAGCCCCGCAGGCCUCAAGCCCUCUGAAAAAGAACCCCAAGCCAGAAAGGAGCCACGUGCCCCUCCCUGGGCUCCCCCACCGCCCCCUGCCCUGGCCCAGCUCCUCCCUCCUUCCUCUGCUGCCCUCAAGCUUCUGCACGUUCCCCUCGGGUGCACCUCGGCCCCAACCAGCCUGGCUUCCCCGAGAUGCCCUGGGAGAUGCCUUGAUGUUCCCUGCUCUGGAGUGUGUCUAGGAGACCCAGCGUGCCCACCCAGCUCACUCCCGCUGAUUCUUGCUGGGGGCCCUUCCCCUGCACUUGUCACCUCUGUCCUAGACAGCGCGCUGGCCCAGAGCGAGAGCCACUGGC